GGCAUCGGCCGAAAAAUCAGCAUAGUAUACAGUCAUAGUGUGGAGCAGGCAUAACUCGGACCUCGGCUAGCUGCUCUGGCUUUUUCUGUGUUUUCAAUUCCCUCUACUGUACAUCCAAUGCUUUUACUCGCACUUCUUCGGCAGGGAACGAGCAGGAAUUCCUAGUUUGUCGAUAUUAUCCAGUUACAGUUGGGCCUGGUCGACCACUGGCUUUAGUGCUGUGUGCAGGUAGUUCAGGGGAAGGACUAAGGUCAUUGUUGGUUUCUGAGUUUCUAUUCUGGUGGCUCCCGUCUGUGUGCCAUGGACGAGGAGGUAUUUCGGCCCUCUUUUUCCACUCGGAAUGUAAAUGCUCUUGAAGCAGAAGUGCAGCAGUCCGCGUUUCGUUAUCAUUCAGUCCCAAGAGAUUGGAGCUUGUCGAGCCAGGUUCAAGGCUAUUACUUCCCGUAGUGGUGCUGUCAAGACGCUACGCUGCCAAAACGACAGUGCACGGCUUUAUGGAGGAGAAGAAAGGGUGAUAUCUCAUCCACCUAUUGCCUGAGCCAGGUACUCCGGUCCGGGUGUGCAGAUGAGCUGGGUUCCUGAUGUUGAAAGAACUUCUGUAAGACGUCUCUGCGAAGCAGCUACAUCAUCUGGUUGCGACGUCAACAAAAACACUGGUCGGAAGAUCCACUUUUCUGAGAAACGAUCAGCAAUACAAUAUCACGGUGAUGUAACAACGUUAUGGAGCACGUGAAUGCUCUCUGUGUGUUGCCAAGCAAGGAGAGGUUGGCACCAGCAUCAUCCCAUCCAUGGAGGAGUGUAGUCAUCGCACACAUUCAAGCCGAGACAACUACAUCUGAGCAAAGAUGGACUGGUCUUCACACCAAUCAUUCUGAAUAUGCUAGAUCAGGACGACACAGACAAGACGACAGCGGGCAUCGUAGACCAAAGUUCGGAAACCUAUGGCUGUGCACUUUCCAGAAACGAUUGGCAUUGCGACAACGCGGUGGUAUCAUGAAGUUCCGGAGUGCGUGAAUGCUUAUGUGCAUUUCAUGAGGAGGCUUGCAGCAGCACUACCAGAGCCAUUGAGGAGUGCAGUGACAUCAUACAGCUAUUCCCGAGCAAAGGAUGAAAUAGUCUUCACACAGGUGGUUCGGAAUAAGCUUAGGUCAGAUGAAAUGCAGCAAGCACAGCAGACGUUAUGAUCCGACACGAGGAGAUGCCACACGGUCAUGACGAGAUUGGCACGCAGACCAAUGGAAGUGCAGGUGAGCCACCAUGGCAAGGGUUCUAAGAAGAGAAGUAUGGUGAUCUCUAUAGGACAUCACUACAGCCUAGGAGACACCAGCAGUGGUUCAUGACUCGUCUUGUGCAUUCUUAUCAGCACAGUGUCGUCAUCAUGAUUGGCACGAGCAGCGGCAUCAGGCGACGCUGUGAUAGCAUCAGCAUAACAGUAGCAGUGGAAACUGCAGCAACAGGCAGCACAGAGACGUAGUCAGCAGCAACAGCAGCAGUAGCAGCAACAAUAACAGCAGCAACAACAAUAGCAGCAGCAGAGGGUAACGCAGAAAUGAGAUCAGCAGCAGCAGUAUACCCAGUAGCUGAAGAAGAAGCAGAAGCGUCAGCAGAGGGUAACGCAGAGAUGAGAUCAGCAGUCCUGUAGCAGUGGCAACAGCAGUGGCAGCAGACGUUUCGCCGUGACCAACAGCACCGAGAGCACCAGUACAUCAACAAAAAUCUUCAGCAAUACUUUCAUUGAUUAUAGGCUUCUCGCCACUGUUGAUGCAAUAUUGCUCCUAAACCCAUUCAGUGUUGAACCUAGCUCAGCAUGUUUCCACUGCCACAUCUACCAGCAUCUGCAGUAGCUACAACACCCGGACACCGUCCACUAGUAAACUGGGAACUUACGGUACGUGCAAAGAUUGCCCUGGCAGAAGAUACAUGUAUGUGCGCAUCGCUUCAGCCCUGCUGUUGCCUGAAUUCAUCACGCUAACUGACAAUGAGCAACUGUGCCCUGCAUAGCAUCACUGGUGUUCAAGAGGAGCUACAACCACCGGUGAAGUAGCUGUGAGUUGCCGUGCGUCAAUCGUGAUCUCAACAAAGAAAGCGGUAAGAGAAGGUGCGUUUCAGAACUCAAGUUCCAGAGAAUAUGCUUGGUCUGCCUCGAGUGUAGUGCAAAGUACUCAUUAUUUGACUUAUAUUUUCGGAUUAGAGUAACAAUUCCUGCUGGAAUAGUGCUCAUCGUGUUUGGCACUGUGCUCUGGAACACAGUCCCCGGAGAAUGCCGUUACACACAGCCCCUGCUUCUCUGCGCCCAUCUUCCGCAGCAUGGACAAUGCGUACCAUGCACCAGUCCUAACCCCAAUGGUAUUUUUCAGGGUCCGUCUCUCUGGUCGUUAAUCCCGUUCUGUUACUGUCUGUUGCAAGAUUGCAAUGCAAGGUGUUCCGACACUACCGCAGUAUAUUCACGUACUGAGUACAUCUAUUGCCUCAAUUGCCAAGUCCUAAAAUGUGUCUGCAGAUGGUUGCUUUCAGGCACAGCUGAAAUUUCAUAUAACUAUGCACUCCACCCUUUCGUUCAAGUUGUAAUCUUACCUGACGAUAUUUCGCUACUCUAGCUCCAUGCUUUCCCCACCUGCCACCAUUGAGCACGGACAUAUCAACGUGAUCAAAUAACCAGCCGUUGUACCAUUUACACGUAUUGCAUGCACCUAUAAAUUGUUUUAUUUGUCCCCAUAGUCAACCUUUUUGUUGUCCAUCUUUCCAUGGCA